AGAUUUAUAUGUAGCAGUUUGUGGUCGACCCUAAACUGAUCUGUUGGCGCGGAGCUCGCGGCCACGCGGUGGAUGCAGAUGCGCUGCACCGGAGGAUCCGGUUCGGGCCGAGCGGGAUCGGCUCGAAGAUCUGUCAGCAGAACGUGGCCGAUUCCGAGUUCCUGGUAUUUCGCUCUCGCUUGUUCCAGUCCCGAAACCCGCCGGAUCGUUGGACGCUGACCAUGGACUGUCUUUGUUUGGUCCCUCUGCUCUCCUUCUCCCCUCGACUGAUCUGAGAAAAACGUACCGGCGCCGAUCGAUGCCACUAUACGUUAGCUACCCGAUAGACGCAGCGAGACGUAAAGGACGACGAAAUAAAGAAAGAAAUAUAAAGCAGAAAGUUAGUGGGAACGAGAGGGAGCCCCCAAAAUUCCACAUGUACAGGAAGAAAUUCACAGCGAGAAAAAGAACGAGCUUAGUUGCCUCUUCGCGUGUCCGAGACGACGUCGUAGCUAACGGCUGAGGCAAGAGCAAAGUUUGUCCUCCUCGGCGACAAGAUCUGCCAGAGUUCGCGGCCGCACGGCAGAUGCAAGGGACCGGAGGAUGCAGUUCCGGCGGAUGCAGAUGCAGCACCGGAGGGUCCGGUUCGGGCCAA